GUGGAGUGGUCAUCAAACGUCAUCAUUUUUUGUCUCUUAACACGCAUGCCCAGGAAGUUGCUUCUCCCUGGAGCCUGCAUUCGAUUAACAGUUUGAUGUUAACAGGUGCGGACCAUCAGGAAAUGGUCUCUUCUGGUGCGGUGGAAUUGUCAUUUUUAGAGAAGCGAUGCGAUCAUUGCCGAAUCAUCACCCGAGAUUUCUAGUGGGUGAUGGAGAGACCUCUCUUCUGCCCCUUUCAUGCCUAACUACCUGUAAUACAUAGAGGGGGCUUGGCUGGGACUUUGGAGUGAAUUCAGGGAAGCUGGCCGUGCACAGCUCGGUAGACCACUGAGGAUGAGACUUGAGGGUCUCUGGGCCUGCCGGCGGCCCAUUGUGGGCAGAUCAGUGCGAGGGAUCCUCACACUCCGGCUAUUACAAAGCUGGACCUUUACCUCUGCUUAAGCAGAAAGAGGCCUGAGCGGGUGACUCAUUCUCACUCAUCAGAGCAUCCGCAGGGCUCCAGCCCUGCCCCAACCUCCCUGUGUCUACUGGGACAGCCUCAAGGCCAAGGGAAGGAACUAAGAGGAAAAAACUCUAGUUUUAAAAACUGAACAGAAUUGAGGAGGAGCCUCCUCAGGACCGGUUCUUUCCUCCCCCACUGGCCUCUCUCACCUGCCACCAUCAACUUUUAGUCCCUUGAAAUGUUCAAGCUGUUUGUCAUUCCCUGGGAGCAGCUAGUCCACUGAGCUUCUGCAUUUGGGGCUGAGUGACAAGAAAUCAAAGGGACGAAAUGGGCCAACUCCCUAAUCUUACCUCCCUGCAUUAAAGUGGAGAAUAUAUGGGAGUAAAUAAAUGGAAAAUACACAGUCAGUUCUUUACCAUCACAGUCAAUAAGGCAGAAUCACUCCAGGAGGAAAUGCGGUCUGGGGGACUUCCUUCAUCUGAGACACCUAACCUGGGGACAGCUCGGCUCUGUGUCCCACCUCUGCCACCACAGACUCUCUGCCCACUCACUUCUCUGUAUUCCCCAAGAUCUGGGGUGCUUCAUUUGGGUUCCUGGAGAAAGGAGAAAUAUUUUCUACCUAGAGUGAAUAUAUCUGGUGUCCUUCCAAAUAGCUGCAGCCCAUGCAUUUUUAAUAAGAAGGAAGCCCUGAUGAAUGUCACAAAGCCAAUAAAUGUGGCCACCACCACGGUGGAGAUGUCGUUAUACAGCUGUAAAGUGCCUGCAAUGUGCAGGGCAGAGCAGAGA
rnacentral:lncRNA from 1 species